rnacentral:rRNA from 1 species
GACGAACGCUGGCGGCGUGCUUAACACAUGCAAGUCGAACGGAAAGGCCCUGCUUUUGUGGGGUGCUCGAGUGGCGAACGGGUGAGUAACACGUGAGUAACCUGCCCUUGACUUUGGGGUAACUUCAGGAAACUGGGGCUAAUACCGGAUCGGAGCUCCUGCUGCAUGGUGGGGGUUGGAACGUUUCGGCGGUUGGGGAUGGACGCGCGGCUUAUCAGCUUGUUGGUGGGGUAGUGGCUUACCAAGGCUUUGACGGGUAGCCGGCCUGAGAGGGUGACCGGCCACAUUGGGACUGAGAUACGGCCCAGACUCCUACGGGAGGCAGCAGUGGGGAAUAUUGCACAAUGGGCGGAAGCCUGAUGCAGCAACGCCGCGUGCGGGAUGACGGCCUUCGGGUUGUAAACCGCUUUCGCCUGUGACGAAGCGUGAGUGACGGUAAUGGGUAAAGAAGCACCGGCUAACUACGUG